AAUUCUCAAACCUUUUAUUAUUUAUUUAAUAAGAGGAUUUGGAUGUGGAAGCUUUGCGGGCCUCUAACGAGGUCGGCUCUUCUUAAAUGUAUUAGCGAGGACCUUUAUCUUUAUUUAUAAUGGCCUUGGUGUGAUAAUUAUCUACGCCAAUUGGCUUUUUAAGAUAUAUGUGGGCUUGGCUCUCUAAUUGUCUUCUUUCAUGAGGACAAUUUUGACAC
rnacentral:misc_RNA from 1 species